rnacentral:rRNA from 1 species
UACGGGAGGCAGCAGUGGGGAAUAUUGCACAAUGGGCGAAAGCCUGAUGCAGCUAUGCCGCGUGUAUGAAGAAGGCCUUAGGGUUGUAAAGUACUUUCAUCGGGGAGGAAAAACAAAACUAAUAAUUUUAUUUCUUGACGUUACCCGAAAAAGAAGCACCGGCUAACUCCGUGCCAGCAGCCGCGGUAAUACGGAGGGUGCUAGCGUUAAUCAGAAUUACUGGGCGUAAAGAGCACGUAGGUGGUUUUUUUAAAGUCAGAUGUGAAAUCCCUGGGCUUAACCUAGGAACUGCAUUUUGAAACUGAAAUACUAGAGUAUCGUAGAGGGAGGUAGAAUUCUAGGUGUAGCGGUGAAAUGCGUAGAUAUCUGGAGGAAUACCUGUGGCGAAAGCGGCCUCCUAAACGAAUACUGACACUGAGGUGCGAAAGCGUGGGGAGCAAACAGGGAUUAGGAUACC